ensembl:lncRNA
GACGCUAGGAGAUUAAAGCAACAGGAGAAGGAGAGCAGUGCUCACGGAGAGCAUCCGAGCAGGACUGCAAAAGAGGAGCAAAAGAAAGCCUCCCACGAGAGGGAACAAUGGAGGCCGGUACAAGAGGAGCAACAGAGGAGAACAGCAAAAGAAGAGCAAAUGAGAUCUGCUCAAGUGGAACAGCAAAGAUGGCUGGCACAAGGGGAGCAACAGAAGAGAGCUGCAGAAGAAGAGCAAAGGAGAGUUGAUGGAGUAGAGCAGCAAAAGAGGCUGGCACAAGAUGAGCAAAGAAGGAAAUUUGCUCAUGAGGAGCAACAAAGAAGAGCUGCAUAUAUAGAGCAACAGAAAAUAGCUUCACAAAAAGAGCAACAGAGAACAUUUGUUCAAGCUGAGCAACAACAAAAAACGGAGCAAGAGCAAGGAGCUACACACAUGGAGCAGCAGAAGAGAGCUCCACAUGCAGAGCAACAGAAUAGGGCUAAAUAUAUAGAACAACUAAAUAAAGCUGCACAUGUAGAGCAACAUCAUAACCCUGCACAUGUAGAGCAACAGAAUAGAGCUCCAUAUGUAGAGCAACAGAAUUAUGCGGCACAUGUAGAGCAACAUCAUAACCCUGCACAUGUAGAGCAACAGAAUAGAGCUCCAUAUGUAGAGCAACAGAAUUAUGCUGCACAUGUAGAGCAACAGAACAGAGCUUCAUAUGUAGUGCAACAGAACAGAGCUCCAUAUAUAGAGCAACAUAGUAGAGUUGUACAUGUAGAGCAUCAUAAUGAUGCUGCAAAUGUAGAGCUACAUAAUAUAGCUGCACAUGUAGAGCAACAAAACAGAUCUCCAUAUAUAGCGCAACAGAAUAAUGAUGCACAUGUAGAGCAACAGAAUGAUGCUGCACACGUAGAGCUACAGAAUAGAGUUCCAUGUAUAGAGCAACAUAAUAGAGCUGCACAAGUAGAGCAACAGAAUAGAGCUGUGCAUAUAGAGCAUGAGAAUAAAGUUGCACAUAUACAGCCACUGAAUACAGCUGCAUAUGUAGAGCAGCAAAUUACUUUUACACAAACAGAGCAGCAAAAUAGAGCUGUACAUGUAGAGCCGCAGAGAAGAGCUGUUCAAGAUUAUAAACAGCAUAAAGUUGCUGAAGACAAGCAUGAACUAAGAGCUGCUAAAGGAGAGAGGCAGAGCAGAAUGAUUCUGCAAGCAGAGCAAAGCAGAGUGGUUCAUGCAGACCAACAAACACAACUUGCACAUGGAGAGCUACAGAGAAGAACUGCAGAAGAAGAGCAAAGGAGAGUUGCUUCAGUGAAGGAACAAAGGAGGCAUAUGCAAGAAGUGCAAAUGGUAUCUGAACAUGUGGAGCAAAAGAGGAAAGAUGCUAAAGAAACCGAGCAAAGAAGAGCUGCUCAAGACGAAAAACAGAGAAAAGUUAUGGAGGAAGAGCUCAAGCAAGCUGAGCAAGAGAAGCAUCAAAGGAGAGCUUUUCAAAUGGAGAAUUAUGGAAAAGUUUUACAAGAACAACAGAAACAAUCAGUACAAGACGAAAAACAGAGAAGUGAAGAACAGAAGCAGCAAAAGCAAUGGGGAGCAGCUCAGAUUGGGAACCAAUCGCAGACUAAACAGAUCUAUGACAAAAUAGCUACCGAUGUUCUAGAGGAAAGGGAGGGAAAACCAAGACGGGAUGAGAAAGCAGCUAUUCAUCCAGAGGAAAAGAGAAUUAAACAGACUCAGCAGCAGAAGAGUGAAGAACUGAUGGAAGAAAGACACAUAAAAGAACAAUGGAUGAAAACUUCAGAGGGGCGGGGAGAAAAGAUAAACGCUCAAAACGAAGAAAUCACGAGACAAAACAAUGACAAAAAUAAAAAAACUGGGAACAUUAUUCUUAUUGGGAAUAACGCAAUGGCACAAGAUCCAGUGCAAACCAAAGUGGAAAAUUAUUUAUGUGAUGACAAAAGGUCAGCCUUCCACAAAGAAAAUGCAAGCUCCAUUCAAACAGAGAUGCAACAUAAAGAAGCAUCAACGUCAGAUGCUCCCCAGUACUAUGCUAUAACCUCCGAGUCCAGUGAUGACUCCGCGUUCCACACCAGAACUCAAAGACCACAUUCUGCUGCAUCUCCAGGUUCAUCUUUGCCUCGUUCUAACACCUCCUCCCCUGCUCCAGGAGGCAAGCCUUGGAUGUUCAGAGUGAAGGACAACACCAUCAGAGGUUCUUCUCUCACCAAGUCAGUCAAACCACGCUUCCAUAAGAACUUUGGAGAGGAUUUUUGGAUGGGUUUACCCUCAGAGAGAGUAGAAGAUGAACAGGAGAUGAUGAGACGAAGCGCGGGGACCCCUGUUAUGUCUAACAAGGGAUUGAACCGAUCAGCAUCUUCACUCCAGGACUACUCAACCUCUUUCUCCCAUCAAAGGUCCUACUCCAGGAGAAGUUUGGCACUGGAUGAAGAUGAGUCUCGUUCUGUCAUCAGCAACAUGUCAGAAGAUGUAGAGAGCAUUGCAACCAACGCAACAGACGUGGCAGACGUUCGAGGUCUGUUUGACCAUGAGAGACCUGAAUCAGCCUGCAGCUUCAGCAGUGACGUGUCACGUUCUCUGGGCAAACCUCCAGUUGUUCCACCAAAGAGUGACAAAGCCUUGCGCAGAGCUCAGAGGUUGACAACUCGACGGAUGAAGAAAGAACUGUCCAAAGUGGCGGAAGUCUCCAGUUUGCCCCCCUCUGCUGAGGUAUGGUCCUCCAACCAUCAUGCUGUGGCUUCUCCUCAUUUUUCCCCACCUAUAGCCUUUGCUCAUGCUUCUUCUCUGAGAUCUAGCUCGUCUUCUUCCCAGACAGAACACCAAUCUUCUCACCACUCCUUUCAUGCUUCCCCUCAUGCCACUGGUCCAAUCUCCCUCCCCAGUUCCUCUCCUCAUGCAGCCCCCACAGUUCCCCUUCCUCCUGUGUCUCGUCAUGCUUCUGUCCCCGCCGCUCCUACGACAGUUGCUCAUGUUUCCUUUCCUUCCAUUUCCCAUUUAAUCCAUCCCCACUCCACUCCAGUGACACAGUACCAAGUAGAGCCAAGCCACUACCACCAGUCCUACCCACUGACCCAGCACAGGGUCCUGCAAGACUUGGGGUCCGGUCAGUAUUUUGUAGUGGAAGUGCCCGUUCAAGUCAAAACAAAGACAUUCUUUGAUCCUGAAACAGGAAAGUAUGUUCAACUGAAUGUGAGACAGUCGGGUCAGAGUGUUUCCCAGUCUCAGCCCCAGCCAACAACUCAAGUCCCACUCAAGUCCCAACAACAGCCCCUCCCCCAGGGGUCUAUACCCGGCAAAUCGUUUGUGUUUCACCAAGGUUACCAAAGUUAUCCCCAAAGCUACCAGCCAGCGGUCAUCAACUCUGCACACCCCAACAGGUCAACAGCCCCUGCAGCUCUUCACCAAGACCAGCAACGUCCCAGAGAGAGCCACGUUUCUACAGAAGUCCAGCAGACCUCUGAAGAGCGUCGCUACAGUCCAGAGAAGACGCCGUACAUGGACACAGUUAAUGAAAAAAGCAGAUCGUACAACCCUGUAAACAGCACCCAGGAUUCACGUGAGCCGUUCCCACAGUUUGAAACCAGCAGUGAACUUUUAGGAAGUGAAGACGACAACCCAGCUAACUCGCUGUGUGAGCCCCGUGACAUCAUAGCCAUGAGGGAUCUGGAGGAUUUCAUGGAGAUUUCUGACUGGUGA